UUGGGCAUAAACCAUAAACCCGAUCUAACCUCAGCACAUAAGUUUAUAGGCUUUCUACUCGAGAAWGUUGACUAAAUGAAAGCCUUCGAAGUCAGAGAAGGGAUUCAUUAGACCUCAACCAAAAUAAGGUAUAUUGGUAUUUCAUCAGUACUUUAAAAAAGAUCCUGAAUGAAGUCUAGUGUGCAUCAAAUAGAAAAAUAAUCCUGCAAAAUCCUGCAGACCAAUAGCUUUCAAACAGCAACUUUCAGAGAUUCUUUCCCUGGAAACAGUCCAUUAUGGUCCCUGGAAAAAAUAGAAAUUGUAAUAGAAUUAAUCAAUUUUGAAAGUUAUCCUUCAGUGAUGUAGAAAAAUACAAAACGUAGCUGAAGCUGGUGGUUGUAGGUUAGGUUUCGUACAGUAAUCAUAAGUCCACUACAUGUAUGCUUACCAACACAAAAACAAGAUAUUUAGUAAACCACAUAAUUUCAGUGAUUUURGUUUUGUUGUAUUAGAGUCAUCAUAAAAAAAUGUUGAAAAUAUUGAACAAGAUCUUUAGCUUUAAGAAUUGAAUUAAAAAAUAGGAUUAAUUUAUUAUUCUGCUUAUUUAUUUGUUUAUUAUUUGUUUCUGUUGUACUUUMAGUUGAUAUAUAAUAAUUCCUAGGUGUAAGGAGUUUUAAAGGUUGCUUGCAGGGGCAGUAGCUUUCAUGUCCUUCCUUUAUUAGUUCAUGGCUUUUUGCACUUAUUGUUGAUUCCAUUUUUGAGAAUAAUUGUUUUUUGUAGCAGUGGCAUCGUGCAAAACAUUUAGUUUGCUGAAGAAGGGUGAAUGGCYGAAACACAUAUCAAAGAGUAGAAAAACAAGUUGCAAGUUGUGUGCCUUUUUCUUCAAUUAAGUUAUAAUACUUAUA